rnacentral:rRNA from 1 species
AAUGGGCGCAAGCCUGAACCAGCCAUCCCGCGUGAAGGAAGAAGGCGCUAUGCGUUGUAAACUUCUUUUCCAGGGGAAUAAAAUUUUGUACGUGUACGGAAUUGAAGGUACCCUGGGAAUAAGCAUCGGCUAACUCCGUGCCAGCAGCCGCGGUAAUACGGAGGAUGCGAGCGUUAUCCGGAUUUAUUGGGUUUAAAGGGUGCGUAGGCGGACUAAUAAGUCAGUGGUGAAAACCUGCAGCUUAACUGUAGAACUGCCAUUGAUACUGUUGGUCUUGAGUGUGGUCAAGGUAGGCGGAAUGUGUAAUGUAGCGGUGAAAUGCUUAGAUAUUACACAGAACACCGAUUGCGAAGGCAGCUUGCUGGGCCAUUACUGACGCUGAUGCACGAAAGCGUGGGGAUCGAAC